CCUCCUUUCUAAGGAUGAGUGAAAGUAAAAUUUCACUCUAAAUAAUAUACAUCGGUAAUGUUGACCGUCCUCAUUUCUCUUCUUAAAGUAAUGUUUCCUUCUUGUAGGGCCGGUAGCUCAGUUGGUUAGAGCACACCCUUGAUAAGGGUGGGGUCGAAAGUUCGAGUCUUUCUCGGCCCACCAAAAACCUAAAUGGGGGAUUAGCUCAUCUGGGAGAGCGCCUGAUUUGCAUUCAGGAGGUAGCAGGUUCGAUCCCUGUAUCCUCCACCAGGAAACAUUUAGUUAUUAAAACUGUAAAUAAAAAUAAUUUAUAUCAAUAUCUAUAUCCGAACAUUAAAAGUUAUUAUUUAAUGUUCAAAAUAAAAAUUUGAUCACAACAUAGAUNAAUUUUCUUUUUAAAAGAAUUUUUUUCUGUGCAUAAAUCAAGCGUUUAAGGGCGUGUAA
rnacentral:tRNA from 1 species